GUUUAUUCUUCAUUUUUUUCCAUGACUUAAUCCAUUGGUAGAAAGUGAGUAAAGGAUGCUGAAAUUGAAUGCUGUUAAAGUUAUAUUUUAUCAUCAUCUAUGGUUUCCAAUUCCGAUAAGAAGCGCCACCAACAGUCCGAUUUUCUCCCGCUUUGGCUUUUGCUAUCUGGGUGAUGGUGAACUGGUGAGAACGAUUUGUCGACCAAGGUCCAUAGAAAAGCAUUCCAUUUGUAAGGCAAGUGAAGCGAACGUCGUUCAAGGCCUUGAACCAAGGUGUUGUCGUAGUGGCCGAUUCCGCCUUCGUACGGCUGGACGCGGGUCUCCAUUCCGCAAAUUCCAUUCUCGCAGACUUCGCUGUAGUCGCCCCACGUUCCGCCGGUGUUGCCGAGUCCGUUGAUUUCAUCGCCGCUGGAGCACUUGAAACGGAUGUCGUUUGCCGCCGUGUUGUCGGCCUCUGGUGCGGCAGGACUGACCCUCAACUGGAAACUCGUCAUGUAACCGCCGAAAGCGCAAGUCUGAAUCCCGUGAAAAUCUCGGAACUGCGUAAAUAUUUAACAGUGAAGGUGAAGUUGGUGAUGAAUUCAUCGUUGCAGAAGAGGACGAUGGUGUUGAGUGCCGUGUCGUCGAAUCGGGGAGUGGCCAGUUCGUUCUGGGUCUGGUAGCUGACGACUCGGGCGCCUUUUGGGCAGCGCUCCAACGGUCCCCAUUGGCCUUCCGUUUCUCCGUUGGUGACCGUGAUGACCUGUCUCGGCCGUCUCGUCGUCGUCGUGCUGGUUUGGGGAGGCGGAGUGGUUGGAACGAUUGAUGAUUCCAACUGGCAAUGACGCCAACGGCCAAGACCAACAGGAAAGUGAAUUUCAACAUUUUUAGUAGCGGCUGUCGUGACGAAACGCUGUAGGGAAUCUGAAUUGUUAACCGCAACAAGUUCUUUUCUGCUCCUCUUCUCCUGAUCCUUAAUGGCCACUGAGACCACCGAUAUCCGUAUCGCCGCCGUCUCCACCAUGUUCUGCGUUCAACCCACUUUCCUCGAGCUGCAGCAGCUGAUCGCCGGCGCCAUUUGGGAACGCAACCAAGAAGUUCUUAACUUCAUGAUGACCACCUUCGGGGUAAGUCCCAAUCAAAUCGAAUCAUAAAAACACCAGCAAAUUGUUUAACUAUUAACUAUGCCGAUUCCAAGAAUCCUUGCAUGCAGCAUAUUUGAACGUCGCUCGUUGUAAGAGCUCUGUUUUGAAACCCUUUUCUCAUUGUGUUUGCAUUCAACGGAUAAAUGCAUCGAAUCCUGACUGGUAUCUUUAAGUCCAUCAUCCUGUUCUCACCACUCCAAAUGGCUCUCCAUCUCUGGUUUCCGAUUUUGACCUUCGAUUAGCAGAAGAGUUAAUACGAAUGGUAAAUGGAACAAGAAGAAAAAUGCGGACAUUUUUUCGCGGGUAUGCGUCGCGUGUUCUGCACUAAGAACGGAAUUGUAGUAUUUGCUUCUAAAUCGGGUAUAUUUUAAAGCUAACCAAGCCCUCACUAAGCAUUUACUGGUUGAGAGGUAGUUUUGAUGGAGUUUUGGAUUAAGUUCGAAAAUAAUUCACGUUUGUUGUCUUUUUCUGGUCCUUCCUCCUUUUUCCCACAAUUAAGACCCAAAUUUAAGUAACUUGAUCCAUCAUGUGAUUCACGGUGCUUAUAGCUUUGAAUGCAAUCAGCAGUUUCCCAGAAAAUGGAAUGGUGUUUCAUAUUGGAAUUGACCCCUCCAAAAAAAAAGGUUCAGAGUGACUCGGUUAGAUCUAUGUUAUUCUGCGAUGUCGAAAACUAACAAAUAGACUUUCUUAUAUUGUAUUUUCAUAUUAGGUAUCUGAUUUAGAUAGUCAAAGUAUUUUCAAUUAUAAAAUUUGUAAAAGAACUAAGUUGAAAGGAAUUGUUUUAGUGUAAAUGAGAUAAAAUUGAUAAAAAACACUAGCUUAAAAAAUUAGAUACUUACAGACGCCGAUGGGUUAGUGGAUAAGGCAUCGGCGUCGGCGUUUAUCAGGAUCUGGUCGCCAGGGUGGCUGUUACUGGUUGGAACUCACGGUGCGAAGGCUUCAGGGGGGGUUGAAAGUUAAAAGUGGGUUGGAGCUGCUACUUGGCAACCUUCGGCAUAAGAAACCCGAUCCGUUGUAUGCAGAUUGUUCCUCAGACCCAAUCCGAUAACGUUUUGUUAGAAUUUAUAACAAUGUUUUUUUUGUUUUGAAUAAAAGAUGACAAAUGCGGGAUACGUCGUCACAUCACAAUCAAAGUCAGCUGUUCAAAACUUUAAAUAUGCAAAAAAAAUUCCAACCUAGAUUUCUAUUUUGCUAUUUAUUUUAGAUUUCUUUCCUGUUUAAGAGUCGAAAAACGUUGUUGUAAUUGUUUCGUAACGUAGAAACUCAUUUUUGGUGCGAGAGAAGAUAGUUGCUGAAGCUACACAAUAGCCAUAAUCGCACAAUAGCACAAUUCCAAUUAAUUAAUCAAGUUCGUCAUAAUUUCAAGUUUAAUUUAUUUAGCGCAUUUUUUAAAUUCGUUGAAUAAUUACGAUUUUUUAAAUGAAGGCUUAGGAAAAUAGUAUGAUUGAGAUAAAGUUUUUAAAAAUACUAGCUUCAAAAAUAAGAUAACUUUGGGCGCCGAUAGCCUAAUGGUUAAGGCGUCGGCGCCUACGUUGUCGGAUCUGGUCGCCAGGGUGGCAGAUACUGGUUCGGAACUCACGGUCACGGCUUUGGGAGAGGUCGGCUGCUGCUGUUAGUUUAGGAUAGGGUGUUAGGUUAAGGUAUAGGUUAGGGGUUAUAGGUCCUCAUCAAAGCCUGAACCGUUGCAUGCAGACUAUUCCUCAACAGACCCAUCCGAUAACGUUU